GUACCCGAGGCCGGGCCGGAGCCGCAGGCCAGCCGCGAUUCCUUCGGGCGAUGCUGGGGGCUUUCCGGUCGGGGCCGCAGCCGCUUCCGGAGCCGCGGGCGAGGUGCGUUCCCCAGCCUGGUUUGCUCUGGGCUCUGACCCGCCGCCGCGAAUCUCCGCUCGUAACUCCGGGCCUGAACCUGGAGGAGGGAGGAUUUCCUCUGUGCAGCUUUCGAGCGGUAGACUCACCCUGCCAGGCAGACCUAGAUUGGCAUAACCAGAGAUCAGUUCCAGUUGUGAUGCAGUGGGUGUCUACACACUUCUGAUGACACCUUUAUUUUAAAAGCUGAUGUUCCAAGGUGCAAGCGGUCUUCUCUGUCUUCUUUAUGGCCAGUAAAAUUCUCCAGAAGAGAUUUAUGGCAGCCUCACUCCCAGUAGUUUCUGCAUUUAGUGAGAUAAGUACCCUGGGAUGUCACUCAAGUCUCUUUUUAAACCUAUAUCCACUUCACCUCAUUUGGCUU
rnacentral:lncRNA from 1 species